UUUUUUUUUUAUUUAUUUUUGGGACAGAGAGAGAGACAGAGCAUGAACGGGGGAGGGGCAGAGAGAGAGGGAGACACAGAAUCAGAAACAGGCUCCAGGCUCUGAGCCAUCAGCCCAGAGCCCGACGCGGGGCUCGAACUCAGGGACCGCGAGAUCGUGACCUGGCUGAAGUCGGACGCUUAACCGACUGCGCCACCCAGGCGCCCCUCAUAUUGAAAUUUCUGAAAUGAAUUUUACCACUGGGUAAAAGUGUCACAAUAAAAUGUGCCCUGGGUCUCCUUGAGUAUAGGCUGGAUAUAGUGACUUGCAUCAUAUGAAUAAAACACAGACAAGGGAAAAAUUGACUUUACAGUCGAGAAACCUAGCAAACACCACAUUAACCAAGUGAUAAUGAUAAACAUGAUCAGUAAUAAUUUGUGCAGAUUUCAUGUACCCCUUUAUCUGAUAUGAUGAGAAGGUUACCUCAUCUUAUGAUGUUCUCCCCUUAAACCAUAUCCUAAGCCUAAUCAUGAGAAAAACAUCACACAGCUUAAGUUGAAGGAUAGUCUACAAAAUAACUGACCACGAUUCCUCAAAAUUGUUAAGGUCAUGAAAAACAAGAAAAGACUGAGAAACUCUCACAGAUUGGAGGAGACUGGGAGACCAGAUGACUACAUGCAAUGUGGUAUUCUGGGUUGAUCCAGUAACAGACAUUAGUGGAAAAACUGGUAGAAUCUGAAUAACAUCUAUAGUUUAGUUGAUAAUAAUGUACCAAUGUUAUUCUUGGUUUUGACAAAUGUGCCAUGGAUAUGUAAGAUGUUACUUAAGGAAAACUAGGUAACGGGUAUAUAUGGAAACUACAUUAUCUUUGCAGCCUUUUUUUUUAAAUCCAAAAUUAUCCCCAAAUAAAAUGUUUAUUAAGCACACACACAUACACACACCCUACAACAGGAUUUAAUUAUAAUUCUUAAAAGAAUAAGAAUGCUUAUUACAACCAAUAGGAUCCUUCUUCUCAUAGACAAACAAAACAGCAUUUUAGUAAUUUCUUGAUAUUUAAAUCUAGGCUUAGUGUUGAGUAACUUUGAGAUUUUCAUUGCAUUAGCAAUUUAAGCAGCCCAGGGACACCUGGGUGGCUCGGUCAGUCUUGAUUUUGGCUCAGGUGAUGAUCUCACUUUUCCUUGAGUUCGAGCCCCACAUCGGGCUCUGUGCUGACAGUACAGAGCCUGCUUGGGAUUCUCUCACUCCCUCUCUCUCUGCCUGUCUCCUGUUCACCUCCUUACUCUCUCUCACUCUCAAAAUAAAUAAACUUAAAAAAUAUUUAAAAAAAAGAAAUUUAAGCAGCCCAAACGAGAUUUUUAGAUUUACAUUAUGUAUACGGUAAAACAAUGGUGGUUUAUUUGUGAAAUAUUACUCAGUUAUUCUUCAAAUUAUUAUUUUUUGAACACUGGCAGGACAUAGGGAACUUUUUGAUGCAUGAAAUUUAUACAUAGAUAACCUGGUACCCUGAAAAUUUAUUAUCAGACUUGGAACCAGAGUGCAGUCCUUCUGAAUUCUGGGGUAUAAUUCUUUCAGCCUUACUUUGGAGUCUACGAGACUUCUCCCACAAUUCCAUGGGACAAGUGAGAUGUCCUGCAGAGAAGCAUCUUCUUUUUCAGUGGAAUUUUAAGAAGACAAUCAGAGGGCAGGGUUAGGCUUCUAUCCUAGAAACCUACUAAAGGGGCAGAGAUCAUAAUUUUUCAGUCAUGAUUUGUAGAACUAAUUUGCUAUAUCCUUUAUGGGGAUUGGAUUAUCCAAUUUACAACUCUACCUGGUUUAAUUGCUGAGAUCAUCAGAAUUAUGAAUUAAACAUAAUAACAAAGUUGCUUGCUGUGUUCCUUUUAAGGUUGAUGUAACAGACAUCCUCUGAGAUGGCAUCUAAUGAUCUUUAUAUAAUCCCUUUUUGUGUAAUCCACAGAGAACUAGUGUAGGCUUGAUUUAGUGACUUGCUUCUAAUGAAUAGAAUACAGCAAAAGUCAGUGAAUGUCACCUCCAGGUUAUAAAAGAUUGUGGCUUCCAUUUGGGGGAUUUUUUUGGCUCUCUCAUUUUCUCCGGAAUCACUUACAGCUUGGGGGAAAUCAGCUGCAAGUCAUGAGGCAGCCCUGUGGAGAGACCUACCUGGUGAGUGACCAAGGGCUACAACAACCACAGAGCUGAAGAUGCAGUGAAACCUAAAUAAACUAAUUUCCAGAAAGAUGACAAGCCCUUCACAAGAGAGAAGAGUUCCACAGCUGUUCACAUUUCAGGCCAAGGAGCAGAAGAGGAGGUACCUACCAUAAAAGCAGGGUCACCAGAAGUAUGCUGACCCAGAAGUAUGCAGAGAAACCUCUGCAGUUUCUCAAGACAGCAGUCAUUCCUCACUUGUUCUCAACUGGAGAACUUAAGAUACUCCCUCUUAAGAAACUCAAUAAAAAUGAAAAUACACUGGCAAGAGCUGAACCAAUGCUGAAGGUCCCACAAAGAGAGGGAUCAUAACUGGUCACCAUUGAUUACCAUGGUAUCCGGCAUGGAACAGGCACCUAAUAAAUAUGUGUUAAUAACACAUGAAUGAAAUAAUAUAUAGAACUGAAUCAUACAGGGAAGGACUGUAGAUGAAAAUUCAUUACUUCAUCAAGUCAAUUUUGACCAGGACUUAGACUCUGGGUCAGCUGCUAUGUUCUAGUUAUUCCCCAGACUCAACUAAAACCUGGGAUUACAAGAAAUGCUCCAAUUUUACUGUUAUUUUUGUUCCACUAUUCAGGAAGGGGCAGAAUCUAAAUCUCUACUAGUCUUGUUCACCAAGCUAUACAAAAAAGAAGAAAUGAAAGAAAUAUUUGGCACACUAAUUGUCCUCUGUAAGAGAUAUUUUUUAGUUAUAAAAUGGAAAUAAAAUCAGUAGGAUAGUAUGUUAAAUAAUACAAUUAAAGUAAUUAGCCCAAUGCUGGGGAAGAUAAAUACCUAAUAAGCAAUUAGUGUUAUUAAUAAAAGCAGCAAACACUUUGA